UACGUAGGGUGCAAGCGUUAAUCGGAAUUACUGGGCGUAAAGCGUGCGCAGGCGGUUUUGUAAGACUGUCGUGAAAUCCCCGGGCUCAACCUGGGAAUGGCGAUGGUGACUGCAAGGCUAGAGUUUGGCAGAGGGGGGUAGAAUUCCACGUGUAGCAGUGAAAUGCGUAGAUAUGUGGAGGAACACCGAUGGCGAAGGCA
rnacentral:rRNA from 1 species